rnacentral:rRNA from 1 species
AGAGUUUGAUCCUGGCUCAGGACGAACGCUAGCGGCGCGCUUAACACAUGCAAGUCGAGCGGAAAGGCCCUUCGGGGUACUCGAGCGGCGAACGGGUGAGUAACACGUGAGCAACCUACCCUUGGCUUUGGGAUAACCCCGGGAAACCGGGGCUAAUACCGAAUAUCCACGCACUGCCGCAUGGCGGUGUGUGAAAAGUU